CAUAAAAUAUAAUUAUUUGGGAGCCAAUACGAUGCAGAAAACAAAGGUUAAGUAAGAAAGGACAUUCUGAGCCAGAAUAGUAAUAAGUAGAAGUAGCAAGUCAGUGUAUUUCAGCAAGAAUACAUAUGAUUUUUUUUUAAGGGACAGGCUCUCGCUAUGUUGCUGAAGCUGGACUUGAACUCUGGGCUCAAGCGAGCCUCCUGCUUCAACCUCCUGAGUAGCUGGGACUACAGGCAUGUGCCACUGCACCCAGCUCUUGUAUGGAAUUUUUAUAUGGAAUGUGUAAUACAUAAACUAUUCAAAUCACUGAAUGCUUGUGAGGUAUCCAUUGCACCUGGAAAUUAAACCAGGCUAUCUCUUCAUAUAAAAGUGGAGAAAGCACUAAACAGGCUAAAGAAAAUUACCUCUUUACCCUUGCCUCCUGUUUUCUGUUAGUCUUAUAUGAAGCUUUUAAGGGAUAGUCAACUGCACAAAAGCAACAUCUGCUUGGCAGAUUUCCUUUAGUCCUGGAGCCCACCAUUCCGUUCUAUCUCACUGAACAUGUUUAUUGGAAAGUACGAGCAGAUUCCAGUGGAAGCACAGAUGCAUUUAUUUAACUCGCUGCUUGUUUCUUUGGAACUGCUCUUUUAAAAUGGAGGCAAGAGUUUUGGGGCUGGUUACAAUGAGUGGCAAUGUCCACUUGUGGGAAAUAUUGAAUGAUGGAUAAUGUAACAGCUGCAAUGAGCAUUUGGCAGAAUGGAAAAUGUUCUAGAUUUAGCUCCCUUGCAUGCAUGUCCAGGGAAUGAUUAGCAGGUUGGCACGAUAAGGUCAGUGUCAUUUAUCAGCCAAAACACUCUCCAAGGUCAGAAAGUUAACUUUUGAUUGUCUGUUGUGUUUUUAAAGAUCUGCUGGCACAGGUCUUUGGGUUUUCCUUUUGAAGGUCAUUUUCUGAAUUAAUGGGUUUCUAACUGUGUCUAUGGCUAGGAAAAUGGAUUUCAGGGAAAAUCAAGAAGAUUGUAUUUUUUAAAAAGACAUUUAUUGAUUAGGAAUAUAUAUAAAUUGUUAAGAUACCUUUCUUUUCCCAUAUUGGUAGCAACUAUCAGGUUGCACAUAUAUAAUUGCCAAUAGUUGACAGUUUUUACCUUAAAGAAGGCAAUUUUGUAUGGUCCAACUGAAUAUAUACUAUAUUUCAAUUCAAUCUAAUACUUUAACAAAUAUUAAGUUCCUGCUGAGGUACUAUGUUAAGUGUUGAAGCUACAAGGAUGAACAAAAUAGUCAUGGGUCUUGUCUUCACAAAGCUUACAGUCUAGAAGUGGUGGCAGACAAACCACUGCUUUGAUAGCGGAAGGACAGUUACUGUGUGAAUUCAGAGCGAGGGAAGCUAAUCCAUUUUAGAGUGGUCAAAAGAAUCUUCCCAGAGGAAUGAAAGCUAAGCUGAGCUUGAAGGAUGAGGAAGAGUUAAAUGGAAGAGUAGAACAGGGGCGAAGAGGCUUCUGGCAAUAGGAACAGCAGUGUGAAGACAGGGAGGUAAGAGCAAUAGAGCAGGGGUGUGUGACAUGACGGGAGCUGAGCGACACUCAGAGUGGAGGGAGGCUGUGUAGACAGAUGAUGCUGGGAGGGAAGAAAGGCCCCAUGGUGAAGAGAAGAAUCUGGUAAUUCUGUAAUAAAAUACUUACCUCUCUAUUCUGAAGGCAUCAAGGAACUACUGGACAAGGAGUGACGUGAUCGUGACGGUGUUGUAUAAAAAGGGCCAUGUGGUUGCUGUGUGGAGCAUAGGUUGGAAUCUGGGAAGUCACCUAGGAGGCUGUUCCUGGAAUCCAGGCAAUAAAAGAUGGUGGCCUGUACUGGGGCAGUGAGCAUGGGGAUGAAACAUGGAAGACUCUGUGAGCUGCUUGGGAGGCAAAUUGAUGGGUCUUGGUGAUUCCACGGUCGGUGGGGAGGGGGCAGGAAUGGGUGACAGAGAGAUGGGAAGGAAGAUUGCUCUCUGAAUGUAGAACUGCUUCUGGGUCACUGGAAUUUUCAGUGGCCACAGUGGUUUGACUUCUUAAAU
rnacentral:lncRNA from 1 species